rnacentral:rRNA from 1 species
CCGCGGGAUUAGAGUUUGAUCCUGGCUCAGGACGAACGCUGGCGGCGUGCCUAACACAUGCAAGUGGAGCGACGAACCGGGCUUCGGCCCGGGGCAAAGCCGCGAACGGGUGAGUAACACGUGGGUAACCUGCCCUGAUGAUUGGGACAACCCGAGGAAACUCGGGCUAAUACCGAAUGUGCCCUCUGGCCUCAAGGCCGGCGGGGAAAGGAAGCUUCGGCCUCCGCAUCGGGAUGGGCCCGCGGCCCAUUAGCUUGUUGGUGGGGUAAAGGCCCACCAAGGCUACGAUGGGUAGCUGGUCUGAGAGGACGAUCAGCCACACUGGGACUGAGACACGGCCCAGACUCCUACGGGAGGCAGCAGUGGGGAAUCUUGCGCAAUGCGCGAAAGCGUGACGCAGCAACGCCGCGUGGGGGAAGACGGCCUUCGGGUUGUAAACCCCUUUCAGUUGGGACGAAGCUUCGCCGGUGAACAGCCGGCUGGAGUGACGGUACCUUCAGAAGAAGCCCCGGCUAACUACGUGCCAGCAGCCGCGGUAAUACGUAGGGGGCAAGCGUUGUCCGGAAUCAUUGGGCGUAAAGAGCGUGUAGGCGGCUCGGUAAGUCCGCUGUGAAAGUCCAGGGCUCAACCCUGGAAUGCCGGUGGAAACUGUCGGGCUAGAGUCCGGAAGAGGCGAGUGGAAUUCCUGGUGUAGCGGUGAAAUGCGCAGAUAUCAGGAGGAACACCAAUGGCGAAAGCAGCUCGCUGGGACGGUACUGACGCUGAGACGCGAAAGCGUGGGGAGCAAACAGGAUUAGAUAC